GCGGGAGUGGUGGAAUGGCAGACACGCAGGAUUUAGGUUCCUGUGCCGCAAGGCGUGAGGGUUCGAGUCCCUCCUUCCGCA
rnacentral:tRNA from 1 species